UACGGAGGGUGCAAGCGUUAUCCGGAUUUACUGGGUUUAAAGGGUGUGUAGGCGGACUUUUAAGUCCGUGGUGAAAUCUCCGGGCUCAACCCGGAAACUGCCAUGGAUACUAUUGGUCUUGAAUAUUGUUGAGGUGGGCGGAACGGGUCAUGUAGCGGUGAAAUGCAUAGAUAUGACCCGGAACACCGAUUGCGAAGGCAGCCCACUAAGCAAUGAUUGACGCUGAGGCACGAAAGCGUGGGGAUCAAAC
rnacentral:rRNA from 1 species